UACAGAGGGUGCAAGCGUUGUUCGGAAUUAUUGGGCGUAAAGCGCGUGUAGGCGGCUUUGCAAGUCGGAUGUGAAAGCCCUCGGCUCAACCGAGGAAGUGCGUUCGAAACUGCAGAGCUUGAGUGCCGGGAGAGGGUGGCGGAAUUCCCCAAGUAGAGGUGAAAUUCGUAGAUAUGGGGAGGAACACCGGGUGGCGAAGGCGGCAACCUGGCUCGUAACUGACGCUCAUACA
rnacentral:rRNA from 1 species